rnacentral:misc_RNA from 1 species
GCCAAAAACCUUAACAGAAACUUGUCGUUGCCAAGAAGCAAGAUGCUCUGCGCUUAUCAUGGCUUCCGGAGGCAACGCAGCCGCCGGUUUAGGGAACGUGGAGUGGCAUGUGAGGCCUCCAAACCCUAAAAACCCUUGUUUUCUUCGAUAUUACCAUCGGCACCAUCCCUGCUGGUCGCAUCAAGAUGGAACUCUUCGCUGAUAUUGCCCCCAAAACCGCAGAAAAUUUCAGGCAGUUUUGCACUGGAGAGUACAGGUACAGAGAAUUUUCGAAAUUUUUUGGAUGAUGUUCUAUUUUCUGGUCAAUUUAGCUACUCAUUAAUUGGAUAAAAUGGGCAGAAAAGCAGGAUUACCGUUACAAAGGUUGCCAGUUCCAUCGGGUGAUUAAGGAUUUCAUGAUUCAAGCUGGUGAUUUUCUCAAGGGUGACGGUAGCGGAUGUGUUUCUAUAUAUGGACACAAGUUUGAGGAUGAAAACUUUAUUGCCAAACACACUGGUCCUGGUCUACUGUCAAUGGUGUGCAUCUCCUUUUCUACCGAAUAUAUGUCAUGUUGCUUUUAGUAUUGAAUGAUCGUGUAUUUUAGUUACUGUUAGAAGAUUUUUCUUUAUGUAUCAUUUGCAUCUUAUUUUGCUUUUCCAUAUGCAUUUUAUGUUUAGUUUCUAAAUUUUGCACAAAGUGACUGUUAAUAGGUCUGUCAAUGUAAUGAUCCGGAGGCAUUUCCUAAGAUAAAAAUCUCUUAAGAUUACCCCUUUUUUUAAAAUAUUUUUAGAGGUUUAUUGUGACCAAUGGACAAAACUUAGUAGGAUAAAGAAGUAUCUAUGUGCUUGGUAAGAGUUUGUAGUUUCCAGCUUGGUUAUAUAACUCAAAAGAUUAAAUGCACUAAACUUGUACUUAAUUUGCAUGAUAGGUAGAAGUUUUGUGACCAAAUUUGUCAGGGUUUUAUUCAUUUGUUAGAAGUACCACAUCUUUCCUUUAAACCCGCUUGAUUUCAGGUGAAAGCCCUAAUUUUUCUUUAUACAAAACCUUAAAUAUUUUUAGCAGUUGUCUACAUAUAUUGAUUUUAUGAUAAUCUUGAUUUUGAUACUAAGGACUAUCCUUACAUCAACUUUGUUGAAUAUGUAACUUUCUUCUGUUGCAGGCAAAUAGUGGACCAAACACAAAUGGCUGUCAGGUUCUCCCUUUCUCUUCUGUUCACACAGACACACAUCCUACUGCAUUUUGUGUUGGAUAAUUAGAAGUACCAUAUAUAUUGUAUGCAUGGGCAAGGGUCAAAAGCCUUCAAGGGAUAGCAGUCCCCAUUUCAAUCUUAUAAACUGGAGAUCAUGAUAUAAACAUUGUGUAUUUAAAUAUAUAUAAUUUUUAUUAAAAAAUAACAGUAUUGAUCCUCCACUAUAUUAGCUGCUUACUUGAACCAAUCCAAUAAAGUUGCCACUGGCCAGCUUUUUCCUCUUUAUUUCCCUUUCAUUUGCUCCCUUUUUAGGUAGGUAGAAGAACAGUUGUGCAUGAGAUGUUAAACUUGGAAUUUGACUGUCCUCAUGUUGUUAUUCUACCUCUUGAGCCCUGAUAAUUCUCUAAAUUACUUACUAGCUGGUUGAGAAUUUGUGAUAUAUUUUGGUGUUUCUAACUUGACAUAAAUUAAUGUUGGAGUUGAUUUGAACCUUCAUUUGCUGCAGUUCUUUAUCACUUGUGCAAAAUGUGACUGGCUUGACAAUAAGCAUGUUGUAUUUGGGGUAUGUUCUCUAAUUCUUUUCUACAAUACUAUCUAGUUAGCUCCUAUUUGCUCGUCUAAUAUUUCAAUUAGACUUAAUAUUCCUUGGACUAGGUUCAACUAACGUCUAAAUAUUCAAUGUCGAUUUCAAAAGCAACCAACCAUGAUCUUACUUGCUGUAAAAAGCAAUCAAACCAACAACAGUUCAUAUCUUUUCAGCUUGGAGCAAUCUUCACACGCACAAUCAUGAAAAUAUCUUCCAGAUAUCAAUUCUAACCCAACCUCCUCUCUUUUUCCCUGUAUUAACUCUGAUUUAUUGUCUGCUAAUACUUUUUGUAGAGGGUGCUUGGAGAUGGUCUUUUGGUUGGCUACUGGACCCAACAACCGGCCUAAACUAGCAUGUGCUAUUGCUGAAUGUGGGGAAAUGUAGAAAUUGAAUUCAAGAGCAGAGCUUUCCAGGAUUUAUUGCAAACACUUGUAUAACCUCUUUUAGAUCAACAUCAUCUAACCAACUGAUCUUUGUCUUACAUUAUUGCUCCUUUUAGUGGGAAAUAUUCAUUCUCAAAAUGUUGGUAGAACCAAAAUACCUUGCACAUGUUGGCAUUGACAAGUUUACAUUGCUUCAUGGACAGCUUGUAAAAUUUUAAAUGAUUUUGCUUAAACCUUAUGAACAAUUUUAAGGUGACUGUUAGAUUGAUCGCUGUC